rnacentral:rRNA from 1 species
CCUACGGGAGACAGCAGUGAGGAAUAUUGGUCAAUGGCCGGAAGGCUGAACCAGCCAAGCCGCGUGAAGGACGAAGGUGCCAAGCAUUGUAAACUUCUUUUGUCAAGGGACAAAAUCAGGCUCGAGAGCCUGACCGAGGGUACUUGAAGAAAAAGCAUCGGCUAACUCCGUGCCAGCAGCCGCGGUAAUACGGAGGAUGCGAGCGUUAUCCGGAUUUAUUGGGGUUAAAGGGUGCGUAGGCGGGCUGUUAAGUCAGCGGUAAAAGGCCGGGGCUCAACCCCGGCGAGCCGUUGAAACUGGUUGUCUUGAGAUGUCGAGAGGUAUGCGGAAUGCGCAGUGUAGCGGUGAAAUGCUUAGAUAUUGCGCAGAACUCCGAUUGCGAAGGCAGCAUACCGGCGGCGAUCUGACGCUGAGGCACGAAAGCGUGGGUAUCGAACAGGAUUAGAUACCCUUGUAGUC